rnacentral:lncRNA from 1 species
CCACGUCCUCCCACCCCUAGCAGCCGUCACCCUUUUGUGCCUUGCCCCAAGAGAAGAGAGGAAGAAAAAAGAAGAGAAGAGAGGGAAGAUGAGGGCAUACCGUCGCCCAUCAUCGUCGUUCCUCUCCAAGAAUUGGUUGGAUUUCCUUUCCUCUCUCUCUUUUAUCCACUUGAUGAAUGCUUUCCCUUGUUUUGGAUGAGUUUUAGGCCCUGCAAUUAGAUUUUUUGGUUAGAUUGGAUGGGAGAUUAGAUUUUAAUCUCGAAAUUAGUUUCUGCAGAAUGGCAGAUUCAAUAGUUUCUGUUCAUGCCAGUUUUCCGUGGUCUUAGUGGCCUCAAAAAAAAUAAAAAGUCUAUCUAUGAGUCGUAGAUAAUUUGUAGAUCUUUCCGUGGCCGCGAAGAACACCUCAAUCGGAUAUCAGAUCAGAAAGUUAUUGCAGUUUGAUUAUAGCAGUUUUUCAGUCUCAUAAUUCUGUACAGAAUCUGUUCUCUUAAGCUUUAGGCAAUUUUAUCAACAAAAUUAAACUUUAGGAUUGUAAAAGAAGUUGUAGACAAUUUCAUAAGCUUUCCAUAUUGUUAAAGAGCGCAUUCAUAUAAAUUAUGAAAGUCCAGUUAUGUUUGUUUUACUGUGGCUGUUCCUAUUUGCCUGACAAAAAUGAGCGGGUCUGUUCACUGGUCGGUUUCAUAUAGUAAAUAGCCAAAUUGGCUGUUCCAACUAUGGAGACAUUUGUAGAGGGAUAAAAGUUCUUACUGCCAGCAGAAUUUCAUAAUUUUUUGUUGAGUAGUUUGGUAGAUAUUGAAUUUUGAAGUUAACUAUGCUGCUGCCUAAAACAGAUUCAGACAUUUAUCUUAUCAGAUGUUUUAGAACUUAUAGAUGGCAGAAUUUAAUUAUCCAUUGAAUACCGAAGUUAUAGAAUAUUUUGUGUAGACACUCAUAGAGUAUUUGUUUAAUAUCACCACUGUUAUAAUUUUAAAGAUACAAAAUUAACAAACAGCGCUGCUGCUGUUUGGCAUGUGGUUCAGGGUGAGAGUCUUUCCACCGGGAUUUGGUUUCAAGUGUACGAGCGAUUUGUUGAUUGUUAGCAAAUGUUUGUGAAAUAUUUGUACUAAUUUUUAUGCCCGCUAGCAGGUGGCUACACUCCGGAUCAUGCCUAGUACAUCUUUCUUAUUCGAUGAAGGCAAGUGAAUGUAGCAGUGGUUGCUACCGUUUUGACUUGUUGUUUUUUUUAUCGCCUACGCUCUAAUAUUCAGAAUUAUGGAAUUCUUUCAUAAUUGAACUCUAUGGUGAUGCUUUACUUGCUUGUAUUAUACUGAUGCUCAAUCAUAUAUUGAUGAUGAUUAUGGUUCGAGUAUGACCCAUGAGAUUAAUUUACACCCCUGAAGGCAGAUAAAGUAUUAUUUGAGAUUUGUAUUGUAUCUGAAGGAAGAUGAAGUAUUAUUUGAGGUUUGUUUUGUAUCUGAAUGAAGUGAAGUAUAUUGAUAAAUGCAGCAUGCCAUAUGCAUUACAUUAUUCAUUUUCAUCUGAAGUUUGGUCGUGACCUAUGGUCCGACCGUACCGGUACAACUUAGCAUCGUACGUUGCCCGAGGAGGGGUACGAUGCGGCUUCAUACCCUUAGAGGUAUGAAGGCAGAGGACAUAUGCAUUGCAUUUAUAUGCAUUCAUUGAAGUGAUAUUAGCAGAUGAUGUGGUUUUAUACUCUCAGAGGUAUGAGGGCAGAUGACCUACACAUUGCAUUCCUAUGCAUACAUUGAAGUGAUAUCUGCAGGUAUUGUUGACGCAGGGAAGGGUUAUACAACCUAUUGUGGUUGUUCGAGGAAAUGAGAUGGUAUUGGUUAUAUUGGGACUAUUGAGUUCUAUAUCUACAAGUAUUUCUGAUCUCAAUUGGGAUUCCUUUAAAAUGUUGUUUAAUUCAAUUUGUGGUUUAAAUAUCUCGUCAAAAUAAUUUGCUUGCUGAGAUGUAUCAUCUCACUCUUGCAUUACUCAAUGCAGGUAUUUGAUUCAUGUUGGGAAUGAGGGAAGUAGCAGCACG